ACUUACCUGUGAUCCCAGCUACUUGGGAGGCUGAUUCAGGAGGAUCACAAAUUCAAGACUGGCCUGGGAAACUUGGCGAGACCCUGCCUCAAGCCGGCCGUUGGGGCACCUGCAGUUCCAGAAUCCAGGAAGAACAGCUGGCCCUAAAGGUACACGGACCUGCCCUUGGGGGGGGUCUGGUAAAGUAGAGCAGGGAUCAGCAAACUGCAUGUCACAGGACACCUCUGGACCACCAUUUGUUCUUUUAAAUAAAGUUUUAUUGGAACACAGUCAUGCUGACUUGCUGA